GUGGUACCAGCAUCAGCCUUCUGCCUGCCCUGUCCUUGGCUGCUCCAGACCCAGGGCAGAGGAGCAGCUCCCAGCCCUCACCAGCCAUCUGCUCAGCGCCUGCCACCCUGACCCCCAGGUCCCCACACGCCAGCCGUACCCCCAGCUCCCCACUCCAGAGCUGCACUCCCAGUCUCUCACCCCGUAGCCAUGUCCCCAGUCCACACCAGGCUCUUGUGACCAGGCCCCAGAAACCUAGCCUGGAGUUCAAGGAGUUUGUAGGGUUGCCCUGCAAGAAUCGGCCGCCUUUUCCCAGGACCGGAGCUACCAAGGGAGCCCAGGAGCCCUGCUCUGUCUGGGUGAGCAUAGCCCCUCUGCAGCUGGAGGGUAGAACAAGGAAGGCCUGAGGUAGAGCUGGGAGGGAGCAUGGGUAGCCUUGGAUGGGGUUGGGGUCCUUGUUAGCUCUUCCCCAGACACCAUACCCCUUUCAGGAACCCCCAAAGAGGCAUCGUGAUGGUUCUGCCUUCCAGUAUGAGUAUGAGCCACCCUGCACGUCCCUCUGUGCUCGGGUCCAAGCUGCCAGGUGAGUGCCUGGGUCUGCCCCCACUCUUGGUCACUAGUCCCAGGCUCCAUUGACCUGCAGCGGUGGUUUCUUUCCAGGCUUCCUCCCCAGCUCAUGGCCUGGGCCUUGCACUUUCUGAUGGAUGCACAGCCAGGGUCUGAGCCAAAUCCGAUGUGAGACGUCACACAGGACAGAUACCGCUCCACACUCUGCUUCCUUUGAGUUUUUUAAUAAAAUAAUCUCAUGCGGC
rnacentral:sRNA from 1 species